UACAGAGGGUGCAAGCGUUAAUCGGAAUUACUGAGCGUAAAGCGUGCGUAGUCGGUUAUUUAAGUCGGAUGUGAAAUCCCCGGGCUCAACCUGGGAAUUGCAUUCGAUACUGGAUAGCUAGAGUUCGGCAGAGGGAAGUGGAAUUUCUGGUGUAGCGGUGAAAUGCGUAGAUAUCAAAAGGAACAUCAAUGGCGAAAGCGACUUCCUGGACCAGAACUGACGAUCAGGCACGAAAGCGUGAAAAGCAAACAGG
rnacentral:rRNA from 1 species